GAUGAACGCUGGCGGCGUGCCUAAUACAUGCAAGUCGAGCGAACAGACGAGGAGCUUGCUCCUCUGACGUUAGCGGCGGACGGGUGAGUAACACGUGGAUAACCUACCUAUCAGACUGGGAUAACUUCGGGAAACCGGAGCUAAUACCGGAUAAUAUAUUGAACCUCAUUGUUCAAUAGUGAAAGACGGUUUUGCUGUCACUUAUAGAUGGAUCCGCGCCGCAUUAGCUAGUUGGUAAGGUAACGGCUUACCAAGGCAACGAUGCGUAGCCGACCUGAGAGGGUGAUCGGCCACACUGGAACUGAGACACGGUCCAGACUCCUACGGGAGGCAGCAGUAGGGAAUCUUCCGCAAUGGGCGAAAGCCUGACGGAGCAACGCCGCGUGAGUGAUGAAGGUCUUCGGAUCGUAAAACUCUGUUAUUAGGGAAGAACAAAUGUGUAAGUAACUAUGCACGUCUUGACGGUACCUAAUCAGAAAGCCACGGCUAACUACGUG
rnacentral:rRNA from 1 species